rnacentral:rRNA from 1 species
UGAGGAAUAUUGCGCAAUGGGCGAAAGCCUGACGCAGCGACGCCGCGUGGGGGAUGAAGGCCUUCGGGUUGUAAACCCCUGUCAGGAGGGACGAAGCGGCUUCGUGCCGUAACGGUACCUCGGUAGGAAGCCCCGGCCAACUACGUGCCAGCAGCCGCGGUAAGACGUAGGGGGCGAGCGUUGUCCGGAAUUACUGGGCGUAAAGAGCUCGUAGGCGGCCUGUUAAGUCGGAUGUGAAAGCCCCCGGCUCAACCGGGGAAUUGCAUCCGAUACUGGCAGGCUAGAGUCUGGUAGAGGGAGGUGGAAUUCCCGGUGUAGCGGUGAAAUGCGCAGAUAUCGGGAGGAACACCGGUGGCGAAGGCGGCCUCCUGGGCCACGACUGACGCUGAGGAGCGAAAGCUGGGGGAGCGAACG